AUGAAGAUCAUGAGCUGCCCCAUAAUGAAAUCGCCAGUAGUCGCGAAUAUCUCCUUCUUCCCUAAUCCAAGAUUGGAGAAAGAAGAUCUAAGAGGGACCUAUGGAGAAUGUAGUAAAUCCAUAAUAGAGUCCGACCACAACGACCGAAUUAAUUAUCCUCAUCGAGAAACUUAG
rnacentral:rRNA from 1 species